UACGUAGGUGGCAAGCGUUGUCCGGAUUACUGGGCGUAAAGAGCGCGCAGGCGAUCGUUUAAGUCGAAUGUGAAAGCCCCCGGCUCAACUGGGGAGGGUCAUUCGAUACUGAUCGACUUGAAGGCAGGAGAGAGAAGUGGAAUUCCCGGUGUAGUGGUGAAAUGCGUAGAUAUCGGGAGGAACACCAGUGGCGAAGGCGACUUCUUGGCCUGUUCUUGACGCUGAGGCGCGAAAGCUAGGGGGAGCAAACGGG
rnacentral:rRNA from 1 species